rnacentral:rRNA from 1 species
AGCGGCGAACGGGUGAGUAAGACGAAAAUGAUCUGCCCAUCAGACGGGGACAACGAUUGGAAACGAUCGCUACUACCGGAUAGGACGAAAGUUUAAAGGUGCUUCUGGCACCGCUGAUGGAUGAGCCUGCGGCGCAUUAGCUAGUUGGUAGGGUAAAGGCCUACCAAGGCGACGAUGCGUAGCCGACCUGAGAGGGUGAACGGCCACACUGGGACUGAGACACGGCCCAGACUCCUACGGGAGGCAGCAGUAGGGAAUCUUCGGCAAUGGGCGAAAGCCUGACCGAGCAACGCCGCGUGAAUGAUGAAGGCCUUCGGGUCGUAAAAUUCUGUUAUAAGGGAAGAACGACUUUAGUAGGAAAUGGCUAGAGUGUGACGGUACCUUAUGAGAAAGCCACGGCUAACUACGUGCCAGCAGCCGCGGUAAUACGUAGGUGGCGAGCGUUAUCCGGAAUUAUUGGGCGUAAAGAGCGCGCAGGUGGUUGAUUAAGUCUGAUGUGAAAGCCCACGGCUUAACCGUGGAGGGUCAUUGGAAGCUGGUCGACUUGAGUGCAGAAGAGGGAAGUGGAAUUCCAUGUGUAGCGGUGAAAUGCGUAGAGAUAUGGAGGAACACCAGUGGCGAAGGCGGCUUCCUGGUCUGUAACUGACACUGAGGCGCGAAAGCGUGGGGAGCAAACAGGGUUAGAUACCCUGGUAGUCCACGCCGUAAACGAUGAGUGCUAAGUGU